GACGAACGCUGGCGGCGUGCUUAACACAUGCAAGUCGAACGAAGUGGCGAACGGGUGAGUAACGCGUAAUCAACCUGCCCUUCAGAGGGGGACAACAGUUGGAAACGUCUGCUAAUACCGCAUACUGAAUGAGGGGAUUGCGUCUGAUUAGCUAGUUGGAGGGGGAACGGCCGAACAAGGCGAUGAUCAGUCGCCGGUCUGAGAGGGUGAACGGCCAAAUUGGGACUGAGACACGGCCCAGACUCCUACGGGAGGCAGACGUGGGGAAACUUCCGCAAUGGACGAAAGGCUGACGGAGCAACGCCGCGUGAGGGAUGACGGCCUUCGGGUUGUAAAGCUCUGUUAAUCGGGACGCGGUACCGGAAUAGAAAGCCACGGCUAACUACGUGCCAGCCGCCGCGGUAAUUC
rnacentral:rRNA from 1 species